UGAGGAAUAUUGGACAAUGGAUGGAAAUCUGAUCCAGCCAUGCCGCGUGCAGGAAGAAGGUCCUAUGGAUUGUAAACUGCUUUUGUACGGGAGCAAUAAGGGCUAUGCGUAGUUCGAUGAGAGUACCGUACGACUAAGGAACGGCUAACUCCGUGCCAGCAGCCGCGGUAAUACGGAGGAUCCGAGCGUUAUCCGGAUUUAUUGGGUUUAAAGGGUGCGUAGGCGGUUCAAUAAGUCAGUGGUGAAAGUUUUCGGCUUAACCGGGAAAUUGCGGUUGAUACUGUGGGGCUUGAAUUUGGUUGGUGUGAGUGGAAUGUGCGGUGUAGCGGUGAAAUGCUUAGAUAUCACACAGAAUAUCGAUUGCGAAGGCAUCUCACAAAGCCAAUAUUGACGCUGAUGCACGAAAGUGUGGGGAUCAAACA
rnacentral:rRNA from 1 species